rnacentral:lncRNA from 10 species
CUGGGGCUCAGGGGUUUGGGGUUCCUUUAAUUUUAAAGACAAUGACUCAGGGUGGUAGAAAGAGCUGGGGAUCUGCUGCAGGUGAGCUGUGGGGUGGCGGGGUCCACUCCAGUCUGCGUGAGUGUGGGGCCCCAGGGUGUGGGCGUGGAGGUAGAUGUAAGGGUGGGUGUAAGUGUGGGUGGGUGUGAGUGUGGGCGUGGAGGUAGAUGUAAGCGUGGGUGUAAGUGUGGGUGUGGAGGUAGAUGUAAGGGUGGGUGUAAGUGUGGGUGGGUGUAAGCGCGGGUGUGGAGGUAGAUUAAGUGUGGGUGUGGUCAUGGGUGUGGUGUGGGUGUUGGUGCGGGCGUGGGUGCAUGCGCCACUGUGAAUACAAUGGCACACAGUCUCACUCAGCCUCUCCGAAGACCCUCUUACUCCCAGCAGCAGGGUUUGUGCCGGUUUUGCUUGCUUUUCAGAGUAACUAUGGAAAAGAAAGCAUGAUGUCCUCUGGAGUUCUACAGAACAGAGCCCUCAGGUCAGGGCAUGCCCUGUGUCAG